CUCCAGAUGUUGCUGAACUACAACUCCCAUGAUUCUCAGCCUAUUCUAUUCAUAGAAUCAUGGGAGUUGUAGUUCAGCAACAUCUGGAG
rnacentral:miRNA from 1 species